rnacentral:rRNA from 1 species
UGGGGAAUAUUGCGCAAUGGACGAAAGUCUGACGCAGCGACGCCUCGUGAGGGACGAAGGUCUUCGGAUUGUAAACCUCUUUCAGCAGGGACGAAGCGAAAGUGACGGUACCUGCAGAAGAAGCACCGGCUAACUAUGUGCCAGCAGCCGCGGUAAUACAUAGGGUGCAAGCGUUGUCCGGAUUUAUUGGGCGUAAAGAGUUCGUAGGCGGUUUUUCGCGUCGGAUGUGAAAACUCAGGGCUCAACCCUGAGCCUGCAUUCGAUACGGGAAGACUCGAGGACGGCAGGGGAGACUGGAACUUCUGGUGUAGCGGUGGAAUGCGCAGAUAUCAGAAAGAACACCAAUGGCGAAGGCAGGUCUCUGGGCCGAUCCUGACGCUGAGGAACGAAAGCGUGGGGAGCAAACAGG